rnacentral:tRNA from 1 species
GCCGAUGUAGCUCAGGGGUAGAGCAAUUCACUCGUAAUGAAUAGGUCGUGAGUUCGAAUCUCACCAUCGGCUCCA